CUGUGUGGACUGAGGUGUGCUCAAUUACCCCAUGGCCGAUCUUUUUAGUUUGGUAUCAGAGCACAGGAGAUUCUUUUGCAACUAGUUUGAUUUGAAACAAUGACGGACAAGGUGACGAUAACAAAAUACAAAAUAUCAAGGUUUGAUAGAUCAAACUUUGCACUUUGAAAGAUGAAGAUGCAGGCGAUAUUGAUCAAGAAUGGUUGUGAAAUUGCUUUGUAAGAAUAGAAUGCAAACCUCAUGAG
rnacentral:lncRNA from 1 species